GUGCAAGCGUUAAUCGGAAUUACUGGGCGUAAAGCGUGCGCAGGCGGUUAUGCAAGACAGAGGUGAAAUCCCCGGGCUCAACCUGGGAACUGCCUUUGUGACUGCAUGGCUAGAGUACGGUAGAGGGGGAUGGAAUUCCGCGUGUAGCAGUGAAAUGCGUAGAUAUGCGGAGGAACACCGAUGGCGAAGGCAAUCCCCUGGACCUGUACUGACGCUCAUGCACGAAAGCGUGGGGAGCAAACAGGAUUAGAUACCCUGGUAGUCAAGGGCG
rnacentral:rRNA from 1 species